rnacentral:rRNA from 1 species
UACGGAGGGGGCUAGCGUUGUUCGGAAUCACUGGGCGUAAAGCGCACGUAGGCGGCUUUGUAAGUUAGAGGUGAAAGCCCAGGGCUCAACCCUGGAAUUGCCUUUAAGACUGCAUCGCUAGAAUUGUGGAGAGGUAAGUGGAAUUCCGAGUGUAGAGGUGAAAUUCGUAGAUAUUCGCAAGAACACCAGUGGCGAAGGCGGCUCACUGGCCCGAUACUGACGCUGAGGCGCGAAAGCGUGGGGAGCAAACAGG